CGCAGCCUUCUGCAGAAUGUACCUCUUGUCAUUCCUCUGUAUCGGUCCAGGAUGUUGACACUACAAGAACGACUGGCGAGAACGCGCUCUCUCGUUGUCAUCUCUUCCCGCUCCCGUGCCACCUUCAGAUCCAGUAGCUCUAGUUUCCUCCGCAAUGCCCUGUUUUCUUUCUGGCUUUGAGUUAUUUCCAAACGAAACACUGCAUAGUCGUCGUCUACGAGCUUACAGAUAUCUGCCACAGCUGCAUUUGCUAGCUCCUCCAUGAUGGAGGCUAUUUGAGUGUGAAAAACCAUAUAGUUAGCCAUUGUUAGCAGUUAGCUAGCGUUACCUAGAUAACAUAUAUUAACCAAUUCCUGUCUCCAGCGCGAAUUAAAGACUACCUGGGAUGUUCCGAGCUAGCCCUCCUGAUGUCGUUUGACCCCACAUGGACUACGACAGUGUCAGCUCCCGGCAUCUGUGGUAGAACAGUUGGAAGCAGCCUUGCGAUGUGCUGUACUCGUGCUCCUGGGUAGCACAGGGUUUUUGCCUUGGGAACCGAGAUGUUUCCCACCCUAGAGCUGCCUAUGAUGACAGCUGGUGAUGUCAAAUGGGCCGGUCUCUCAGGCAGGCUCACGGUCUGAUAAGGGUGGGAGCUCCGAGGAGCUGAACCCGAGGUAGAAGCCACCGGAGAGGGAGACAGAACAGAGGACAAAGACGCACGUACCUCCGGAUCUGAUCUUGAUUGGGAAGCCCCCAAAGAAGGCGGUGCUGGAACCUCUGGAUCCAGGGCGGCAAAGCUGUUUCUGGUCUGUGUCUGGUCAGGGAUCAACAUCUCCAAGGAGACCCCUGUUUCCAGAGGAUGCUGUCUUUGACUUCCACAGCGAGUAACGUAUCUCCAUGGCUGGUUGGUUGGGUCGAGAACAGCUCCGUUCUCCUGGGAAGGGUGAGACCCCUUCGGGAUGGAACCCCGCUGAGCACCGGCCAGUCGGCUGUGGAGAGCCGACUGGCCGUCGGCUGUGGAGAGGAAUUGUCCGUAGUGCUCCGAAACAGGAUUGUGUCGAGGCACAGAUCUGGGAAGGGUACCAAAAAAUGUCUGCAGCAUUGAAGGUCCCCAAGAACAGUGGCCUCCAUCAUUUCUUAAAUGGGAUAAGUUUGGAACCACCAAGACUCUUCCUAGAACUGGCCGCCCGGCCAAACCGAGCAAUCGGUGGAAAACCUGAGGUGACCAAGAACCCGAUGGUCACUCUGACAGAGCUCCAGAGUUCCUCUGUGGAGAUGGGAGAACCUUCCAGAAGGACAACCAUCUGCAGCACUCCACCAAAUCAGGCCUUUAUGGUAGAGUGGUCAGACGGAAGCCACUCCUCAGUAAAAGGCACAGGACAGCCCGCUUGGAGUUUGCCAAAAGGUACCUAAGACCAUGAGAAACAAGAUUCUCUGGUCAGAUGAAACCAAGAUUGAACUCUUUGACCUGAAUGCCAAGCGUCACGUCUGGGGGAAACCUGGCACCAUCCCCACUGUGAAGCAUGGUGGCGGCAGCAUCAUGCUGUGGGGAUGUUUUUCAGGGACUGGGAGACUAGUCAGGAGAGGGAAAGAUGAACGGAGAAAAGUACAGAAAUCCUUGAUAAAAACCUGCUCCAGAGCGCUCAGGACCUCCGACUGGGGCGAAGGUUCACCUUCCAACAGGACAACGACCCUAAGCACACAGCCAAGACAACGCAGGAGUGGCUUCGGGACAAGUCUCUGAAUGUCCUUGUGGUCCAGCCAGAGCCCAGACUUGAACCCGAUCGAACAUCUCUGGUGAGACCUGAAAAUGGCUGUGCAGCGACGCUCCCCAUCCAACCUGACAGAGCUUGAGAGGAUCUGCAGAGAAGAAUGGGAGAAAUUCCCCAAAUACAGAUGUGCCAAGCUUGUAGCGUCAAAGGUGCUUCAACAAAGUACUGAGUAAAGGGUCUGAAUAUUUAUCACAUUUACAUAUUUCAGUUUUUUAUUCUUAAUAAACGUGCAAAAAUGUCUAAA